UAUGGGGGGGUAGGGAAGAGACAGGGUAUAUGGGGGGGUUAGGGAAGAUACAGGGUAUAUGGGGGGCCUCUGGAAGAGACAGUAGUGUGUGAGGGGGCAGUAUGGGACAGGUAGCAGUAUAGAUAUGGGGUGUAUGGAAGAAACAGUGCUUAUGGGGGGGGGGGGGGGGGUGACAGUAGCCUACAUGGGAGAGACAGCAGUGUAAAGACAGACAGCAUCAAAAUGGGAGAGACUGUGGGGGCACAGGAGCAAUGUAUGAGAUGUGCGGGUAGGUUACAUGGGUACAGGGCUCGGUGCGGGUAGGUUACAUGGGUACAGGGCACGGUGCGGGUAGGUUACAUGGGUACAGGGCACGGUGCGGGUAGGUUACAUGGGUACAGGGCACGGUGCGGGUAGGUUACAUGGGUACAGGGCACGGUGCGGGUAGGUUACAUGGGUACAGGGCACGGUGCGGGUAGGUUACAUGGGUACAGGGCACGGUGUGGGUAGGUUACAUGGGUACAGGGCACGGUGUGGGUAGGUUACAUGGGUACAGGGCACGGUGUGGGUAGGUUACAUGGGUACAGGGCACGGUGUGGGUAGGUUACAUGGGUACAGGGCACGGUGCGGGUAGGUUACAUGGGUACAGGGCACGGUGCGGGUAGGUUACAUGGGUACAGGGCACGGUGCGGGUAGGUUACAUGGGUACAGGGCACGGUGCGGGUAGGUUACAUGGGUACAGGGCACGGUGCGGGUAGGUUACAUGGGUACAGGGCACGGUGUGGGUAGGUUACAUGGCUACAGGGCACGGUGCGGGUAGGUUACAUGGGUACAGGGCACGGUGUGGGUAGGUUACAUGGGUACAGGGCACGGUGCGGGUAGGUUACAUGGGUACAGGGCACGGUGCGGGUAGGUUACAUGGGUACAGGGCACGGUGCGGCAUUACUGCAGGGUGGGGGUAUAUCUGGCAUUACUGCAGGGUGGGGGUAUAUCUGGCAUUACUGCAGGUUGGGGCAUUACUGCAGGGUGGGGGUAUAACUGGCAUUACUGCAGGGUGGGGCGUUACUGAUACACUGGGCUCCGGCUGUAUAUGUAGGAAUUGCCCCUUGUGGUGCCAGUGUGGGGUGCCUGCGUAUGUGUAUGGGGGGCACAUUGUGCUGUUGUUAAUGGGAGGUGGGUGUUAUGGGGCAGUGAGAGUGCCCUUUCCCUGGGGGGGUGUAGAUGGGGGUAACUUGGCAUAAUGUAGAUUUGUUCCCUGCCCCGUUCCUGCCCCAUUCCUGCCCCAUUUUUGCCCCAUUCUCAUAGCUGGACACUGGGCCCUGGGAUUCCUGCAAUGCUCAUUGGAGCCGGGAGUGACUCCUACUGGGUGUCUGGUCCCAAGAGCUUGCACACAGUUGCUGUGUUACCUAGGAGAAGGCCAGUAGUUUGUGGCCAUGUUGUGGGCAGACACCCUCCUCUCCAGAGGCCAAUUAUAUUACACUCCAUUCUGUUUUCCUGGGGGAGGGGUAAGAAUUGAUGCCCCGGGGCAGUUGCUUGUUGGGAAUCUCAGUGCAGAAAUACCAGUUCUCCCAUUGCUGCACAUUCCCAAACAUGAUGGGACCUUAUUGCCCGUGCAGCCUCCCAUGGAACCCCAAUUCCUUUAUAGGAGUCUCCCUUUAUCUGAGACAGGAAGUGAGAUGUGCAAAGGAAACUGCAUCCCCCCUGUGUGCAUAUAGCGGCUAUGAUGCAUAUGAUCCAAACUUACUUGGGGAGAUCUACCCAGCAGUGUGAGGGGGAUGUGCUCUUGGUGCAUGAAAGGGUUAAUCCCUCCGUGCCCAGCUCCCUAUGGGGGUGCCCUGCCCAGACAGUUAGGGUUCAGCCGGCGGCACUUGGUGGAGUUGUCAGUAGGACUGCGGGGAGUCAGGGGCUGCAUUAUGGGCAGGGCAUACAGCUGGCGCACCCCGGCACUUGGCAGGCACUGCUGGCUUUGCCCCAAGCUGUGAGGAUGCGGCAUGGCAGCCAGCUUCCUUGUGUUCAAUGUGGCAGUGCCAGGGUCUGCUUCACCCAGCAGCGCCGGCCUCCCUCCCUUCAUUACUGCAGCACUGACUGCUGCCCUGGCACACUUGCUGUGCCCUCUGCCCUGGCACUGCCAGCCGCCACUUGCUGGUCUUGUAGAAGGAAGAUGGUGGCAGAUAGAUUUAAGGGCAGUUGUAUAUGAUAUGGGUCAGGGCAGAGUGGAAAGGGUGGGGGGGGGGGCAGAAGGAAUUAGCCCCCUUGCUGGUAGUGUGUGCCUAUUAGUCAGACCCCCUGGUUGGCACACAUUGCCAGUGUUGGCACCGCUUCAGCACUUGUAUCCAGCCUGCCAGGGGUUAAUGCCUGAGAAUGUGACCCCCCCCCCCAGACACUGUAUAUCUGUCACUCUGCUGGUGAGAGGGUUAUUUAUAGACUGGGGGGGGGGGGGUGCUGGGAAUCUUCUGUGUAUUCCCUGCAGGAGCAUCUUGGCGCAGUCCCUUGCCAUCUACUCUGGCGCUGGCAGCUUGGUGCCCGGGAAGCUAAUUGGCCGCUGUGUUUAGAGGGCAGUAGGGGGGAGGAUUUGUACCCCCCUAGCCGGGUUCUGUUUCCUUGGACUGGGGCAGAAGGGAGGUGGGGGGGGCAGAUCCAGUUACUGAGCCUGAGAGGUACCAUUGUUCCUGGGACUGGCGUAAGCCCAGGCUGGCACGUCAAGGUUACUACUGUCCCAGCAUUCCUGGGGGGGGGAGGGAGGGGGCGUAACCUCUUCAUUGCCGUCACAUUUGUACUCCUGCAUGUUCUCUAUGCAGUUGGUCGGUAUGAAUGCUGGGUGUCGGCUGAUAAGUGGCAUUAGAUAAUCCCUUGCCUGCUGUGGGGAUAUUCAUGCCCAUAAAGGGACUCCGGACCGUGGGAGGGCAAUUACUCACUGGACUUUCACCCCCCCCCGGGGUAUUUGAUGUAAUAAUCGGGGGUUAAACCCUGCCAUAGAGAACAUUGUGCAAUGUAGGUGUGAUCCUUCCGCCUGAACACCCAGUAUAAAGUCCCUGGCAUCUGCCUGCCCCGGGGCCAUGUUCUGCCAUGGCACAUCCCUGUGUGCCUAUUGGCUGGCUGGGACUCCCUGUGCCCUGGCACUCCUCCCUUGGCUUGUAGCUGCCCCUACUGGGUGCCAGUCCUGCUGCCACCUCCUUGGGAAAGAGGCUUGAUGGAACUUGCCACCCUGGCAGCACCUUGCCCCAUGAUGCCCUAGACGUGAUGUCACUGAUCCGUCUGUCCUUGGGCAAGGUCGUUGGCACUGGGGCCUGUGCCUUCAUUGGGAGGGUUACUGGGAAUACUGGUGCUGCAUCCUGUGCCCCUGGUAACUGGCGCCUUAUUAAACUCCCAGGGGCUUCUGGGAAAAUGGGCACUACGUGCAUGGCCUUGUUCUUCCCGGUGUUCCAAUCUGGAGGGUUGCUGGGAGUUGUGCAGCCUCAGCAGUUUUUCUAGGUUACACACAAGAUCUAAUUGGAUACAGCCCCCCCCCCCCCCCCCCUUAGCUUGGAGAUGUAAUGAGAGCAGCGCUGAGCCCAUCAAUAACUAACUGGGGGGGGUCACUGCGGCUACUGUACCGUCCCAGGGGGCCAGCUCGGCUCUGUAAGUGCUGCCGUGAAUGUAGGCCGGGGCUGGCCCAUUAAUCUUAGGGAAGCCCCAUACCUGGGGGGUGGGCAUUCUCCUCCCUAGAGCUGGGGCAUCAGUAGGGGUCAGAUUAUGAUCCCCAGUGCAGGGGUUUAUAGAGCCGGCAGUUAAUGAUUAGGCUACUGGGUAUCUUUAUGGCUUGCUGUUGCUAGGGCUGUUGUGUUGGGCUACGGCUGUCAGUGGCCCUAUAUCCCAUGGGAGGGGGGAGGGUUUGUCUCUUUAUUCAGCUGUAGGUCCCCCCACCCCCGGGUGCCUCGGCAUGACAGUGUGGGAAGGGUGGGUGGCCCUUAGGGGGCUGUUCUAGAGCACCAGUAUUCACUGGGAUCAUGUUCCAGCUCCUUCCCAUAAUGCUGUGCCGCUUGUUUGAGCACCUGUUGUGUGGGAAGGGGCCCGUAUUGCACCCCCCCCCGACUAUCUGUGCAGAUGGUACUUACUGUGUAUUCUGCACACUCCCCAAUAUAAGUAUAAGUAGUAUUGCAUGCUGGGAUACGGAAGCUUUGCUCCUGGGGGCCCCCCUGUUCUCUCAUUGCAUGCUGGGAUACGGAAGCUUUGCUUCUGGGGGCCCCCCUGUUCUCUCAUUGCAUGCUGGGAUACGGAAGCUUUGCUUCUGGGGGCCCCCCUGUUCUCUCAUUGCAUGCUGGGAUACGGAAGCUUUGCUUCUGGCGGUCCCCCUGUUCUCUCAUUGCAUGCUGGGAUACGGAAGCUUUGCUUCUGGGGGCCCCCCUGUUCUCUCAUUGCAUGCUGGGAUACGGAAGCUUUGCUUCUGGUGGUCCCCCUGUUCUCUCAUUGCAUGCUCGGAUACGGAAGCUUUGCUCCUGGGGGCCCCCCUGUUCUCUCAUUGCAUGCUGGGAUACGGAAGCUUUGCUUCUGGCGGUCCCCCUGUUCUCUCAUUGCAUGCUGGGAUACGGAAGCUUUGCUUCUGGGGGCCCCCCUGUUCUCUCAUUGCAUGCUGGGAUACGGAAGCUUUGCUCCUGGGGGCCCCCCUGUUCUCUCAUUGCAUGCUGGGAUACGGAAGCUUUGCUUCUGGGGUCCCCCCUGUUCUCUCAUUGCAUGCUGGGAUACGGAGGCUUUGCCUCUGGAGUCCCCCCUAUAUCUGACAGGGGGGGUGCAGCAUAUUAGGGGUGGGGGGGGGUGCCGCUCUGCCUUACGGAAAGUGCCUCCCAGACCCACUGACUGCCGCAUUGUGCAACUGCCUGUGGGAGGGGCUGGGCCCUCGCUGACUCAUUAACCCCUUCCUGUCCUGCCGCUGCUGUCUCACUGUGACAUUUAUAGACACCUCAGCUCCCCCCCCCCCCCCCAUGGCUCAGGUUUCAGUGUGGGAAACCCUAGUCUCUUUAUCCUAGGGAAGGAGAGAGGCCAGGCGAGAAGGGGUUAAUGUGCCAUGCAGUUUAUAGCAGGGAGUAUUUAUAAUGUUCUGGGGCCCUGUAUAUCAGAUAAUACCCCCCCAUCCCGGCUGCCCCUUCCUCCCAUAAUCCCCUGUGUUACCCUGCACUUUUCCCAGCUCAGGUUUCUGUGGAUCUGCUUUGUUUUUAUCUAUGGCUCAUUGUUCCCACAGCACCUGACACCACACGCACCCUCCUUGUGCCGGAGGAGGAGGGCAGCGGAAUUAACCCUCGCUGUACCCCCUGGCCGGGUGCAACUUUCCCUGCCUGUCUCUCUUUAUUCACUAGGCCCUAGAACCUGGGAUUCUGGGUACAGAAGGGUUGCCAUGGAAACCACCCGACUUCUUGUGCAUGCCCCCCAGUUAGUAAUGCCCUGUAUCCCAGGCGGGUGGCAGUUGGGGGGGCCCCAGUCUCUGUGCGGCCCCUGGCACCGACCCUUCCCAUAUCAGUUGCCAGUGUGGCAUCUCUGCCGCUCUCUGUCUCGUCACCUUGUUGUACUGGGAGGUGACACAUACUUCUGCCUUCCUGUUUGUUUUGGCAACGGCUGGCAGCCAUAUUAUCCCUCUGCUCUGGCACAGCCGGCGUUCCCCGCUCACACUCCGUGUGGGUACCUUACGCAAUCUGUGGCCAUUUUGUACAGCCGCUGUAUGGGAAUAAGUUCUGUGCUCGCUGUUAGGGUGCCCCCACCCCUGUGUAGGAGCUGCCAGGCAGGAUUAUAAGAGGGUGGGGCUAAAGCUACUCCAUUAAACAGAUUUGCCCCUGUAUAGGUACACAGGGAGGCGUUACACAUGGGCAGCUUCGCCCACUGCCGGUGAAUGGGGUCAUUGAAGGAACAUAAUGCCGAGUUGUACUGGGUUACACAGUGCAUA